GAGAUAUUAGUAAAUAAAU
rnacentral:tRNA from 1 species